rnacentral:rRNA from 1 species
GGUUAAGCGACUAAGCGUACACGGUGGAUGCCCUGGCAGUCAGAGGCGAUGAAGGACGUGCUAAUCUGCGAUAAGCGUCGGUAAGGUGAUAUGAACCGUUAUAACCGGCGAUUUCCGAAUGGGGAAACCCAGUGUGUUUCGACACACUAUCAUUAACUGAAUCCAUAGGUUAAUGAGGCGAACCGGGGGAACUGAAACAUCUAAGUACCCCGAGGAAAAGAAAUCAACCGAGAUUCCCCCAGUAGCGGCGAGCGAACGGGGAGGAGCCCAGAGCCUGAAUCAGUGUGUGUGUUAGUGGAAGCGUCUGGAAAGGCGCGCGAUACAGGGUGACAGCCCCGUACACAAAAAUGCACAUGCUGUGAGCUCGAUGAGUAGGGCGGGACACGUGGUAUCCUGUCUGAAUAUGGGGGGACCAUCCUCCAAGGCUAAAUACUCCUGACUGACCGAUAGUGAACCAGUACCGUGAGGGAAAGGCGAAAAGAACCCCGGCGAGGGGAGUGAAAAAGAACCUGAAACCGUGUACGUACAAGCAGUGGGAGCACGCUUAGGCGUGUGACUGCGUACCUUUUGUAUAAUGGGUCAGCGACUUAUAUUCUGUAGCAAGGUUAACCGAAUAGGGGAGCCGAAGGGAAACCGAGUCUUAACUGGGCGUUAAGUUGCAGGGUAUAGACCCGAAACCCGGUGAUCUAGCCAUGGGCAGGUUGAAGGUUGGGUAACACUAACUGGAGGACCGAACCGACUAAUGUUGAAAAAUUAGCGGAUGACUUGUGGCUGGGGGUGAAAGGCCAAUCAAACCGGGAGAUAGCUGGUUCUCCCCGAAAGCUAUUUAGGUAGCGCCUCGUGAAUUCAUCUCCGGGGGUAGAGCACUGUUUCGGCAAGGGGGUCAUCCCGACUUACCAACCCGAUGCAAACUGCGAAUACCGGAGAAUGUUAUCACGGGAGACACACGGCGGGUGCUAACGUCCGUCGUGAAGAGGGAAACAACCCAGACCGCCAGCUAAGGUCCCAAAGUCAUGGUUAAGUGGGAAACGAUGUGGGAAGGCCCAGACAGCCAGGAUGUUGGCUUAGAAGCAGCCAUCAUUUAAAGAAAGCGUAAUAGCUCACUGGUCGAGUCGGCCUGCGCGGAAGAUGUAACGGGGCUAAACCAUGCACCGAAGCUGCGGCAGCGACGCUUAUGCGUUGUUGGGUAGGGGAGCGUUCUGUAAGCCUGUGAAGGUGUGCUGUGAGGCAUGCUGGAGGUAUCAGAAGUGCGAAUGCUGACAUAAGUAACGAUAAAGCGGGUGAAAAGCCCGCUCGCCGGAAGACCAAGGGUUCCUGUCCAACGUUAAUCGGGGCAGGGUGAGUCGACCCCUAAGGCGAGGCCGAAAGGCGUAGUCGAUGGGAAACAGGUUAAUAUUCCUGUACUUGGUGUUACUGCGAAGGGGGGACGGAGAAGGCUAUGUUGGCCGGGCGACGGUUGUCCCGGUUUAAGCGUGUAGGCUGGUUUUCCAGGCAAAUCCGGAAAAUCAAGGCUGAGGCGUGAUGACGAGGCACUACGGUGCUGAAGCAACAAAUGCCCUGCUUCCAGGAAAAGCCUCUAAGCAUCAGGUAACAUCAAAUCGUACCCCAAACCGACACAGGUGGUCAGGUAGAGAAUACCAAGGCGCUUGAGAGAACUCGGGUGAAGGAACUAGGCAAAAUGGUGCCGUAACUUCGGGAGAAGGCACGCUGAUAUGUAGGUGAAGUCCCUCGCGGAUGGAGCUGAAAUCAGUCGAAGAUACCAGCUGGCUGCAACUGUUUAUUAAAAACACAGCACUGUGCAAACACGAAAGUGGACGUAUACGGUGUGACGCCUGCCCGGUGCCGGAAGGUUAAUUGAUGGGGUCAGCGCAAGCGAAGCUCUUGAUCGAAGCCCCGGUAAACGGCGGCCGUAACUAUAACGGUCCUAAGGUAGCGAAAUUCCUUGUCGGGUAAGUUCCGACCUGCACGAAUGGCGUAAUGAUGGCCAGGCUGUCUCCACCCGAGACUCAGUGAAAUUGAACUCGCUGUGAAGAUGCAGUGUACCCGCGGCAAGACGGAAAGACCCCGUGAACCUUUACUAUAGCUUGACACUGAACAUUGAGCCUUGAUGUGUAGGAUAGGUGGGAGGCUUAGAAGUGUGGACGCCAGUCUGCAUGGAGCCGACCUUGAAAUACCACCCUUUAAUGUUUGAUGUUCUAACGUUGACCCGUAAUCCGGGUUGCGGACAGUGUCUGGUGGGUAGUUUGACUGGGGCGGUCUCCUCCUAAAGAGUAACGGAGGAGCACGAAGGUUGGCUAAUCCUGGUCGGACAUCAGGAGGUUAGUGCAAUGGCAUAAGCCAGCUUGACUGCGAGCGUGACGGCGCGAGCAGGUGCGAAAGCAGGUCAUAGUGAUCCGGUGGUUCUGAAUGGAAGGGCCAUCGCUCAACGGAUAAAAGGUACUCCGGGGAUAACAGGCUGAUACCGCCCAAGAGUUCAUAUCGACGGCGGUGUUUGGCACCUCGAUGUCGGCUCAUCACAUCCUGGGGCUGAAGUAGGUCCCAAGGGUAUGGCUGUUCGCCAUUUAAAGUGGUACGCGAGCUGGGUUUAGAACGUCGUGAGACAGUUCGGUCCCUAUCUGCCGUGGGCGCUGGAGAACUGAGGGGGGCUGCUCCUAGUACGAGAGGACCGGAGUGGACGCAUCACUGGUGUUCGGGUUGUCAUGCCAAUGGCACUGCCCGGUAGCUAAAUGCGGAAGAGAUAAGUGCUGAAAGCAUCUAAGCACGAAACUUGCCCCGAGAUGAGUUCUCCCUGACUCCUUGAGAGUCCUGAAGGAACGUUGAAGACGACGACGUUGAUAGGCCGGGUGUGUAAGCGCAGCGAUGCGUUGAGCUAACCGGUACUAAUGAACCGUGAGGCUUAACCUUACAACGCCGAAGCUGUUUUG